GGCUCAGAUUGAACGCUGGCGGCAUGCUUUACACAUGCAAGUCGAACGGCAGCGGGGGCUUCGGCCUGCCGGCGAGUGGCGAACGGGUGAGUAAUGCAUCGGAACGUGCCCAAGUCGUGGGGGAUAACGUAUCGAAAGGUACGCUAAUACCGCAUACGUCCUGAGGGAGAAAGCGGGGGAUCUUCGGACCUCGCGCGAUUGGAGCGGCCGAUGUCGGAUUAGCUAGUAGGUGAGGUAAAGGCUCACCUAGGCGACGAUCCGUAGCGGGUCUGAGAGGAUGAUCCGCCACACUGGGACUGAGACACGGCCCAGACUCCUACGGGAGGCAGCAGUGGGGAAUUUUGGACAAUGGGCGCAAGCCUGAUCCAGCCAUGCCGCGUGAGUGAAGAAGGCCUUCGGGUUGUAAAGCUCUUUCGGCCGGGAAGAAAUCGUGUUCUCUAACAUAGGACAUGGAUGACGGUACCGGACUAAGAAGCACCGGCUAACUACGUG
rnacentral:rRNA from 1 species